AUGAACCUGCAUGCCCGGCUUCCUGCUCACCGAGGUCCUCUCUCUGCCAUCCUCUUGCCGUGCCAGAUGGUUGGACGAGUGGAGUCUCCUGAUCUUUGCCUGGGAACCUCUCAACUGAUUGGACACAGUGAAAUGCCCCUUUCAGAAAGGUGUCAAAAACCCCCUACGACGGCUAAGGCUUACGGAGCACAUCACAUAGGAGCAAUUCAGGAGACAAAAAGGAGCACUCUGAAUCCAGGUAAAUUCUUGGAAGAACUGGACCAAAGUUCAUGAAGAAGUCAUGUGACAGCUGGAACUGCCUGCUGUACCACAGCGUGUGCAAAUACUUGUGCCCUGGAGCCUUGGCCAACCUGUGUGCUGCUGUCAAUAAAACUGAUUGGAAAAACA
rnacentral:lncRNA from 1 species